GUGCUUGCUUCAACAGCACAUAUACUAAAAUUAGAAUGAUAUAGAGAAAAUUAGCAUGGCCCUGCAUAAGGAUGACAUGCAAAUUCAUGAAGCAUUUCAAAUUUUU